rnacentral:misc_RNA from 1 species
AGAGUUAAACAGUACGUGAAAUUGUUGAAAGGGAAACGAUUGAAGUCAGUCAUGCUAGUGGGGAAUCAACUUGGUGGAGCUUUCUUCCUCGUGUACUUUCUUGCUUGGCAGGUUAGCAUCAAUUUUGGUUGUCAUCAAAGAAUUGGGGGAAUGUGGCUUUUCCUCGGGAAAGUGUUAAAGACCUCAGUAGAUGUGGCGACUAGGAUUGAGGAUUGCAGCGGAUGCCUUUGGCUAGUCACCUGGCUUCUAACGGUCACCUCGCUUUCAACAGCUCGCUGAUGAUUGUGGGAUUCGGCAGUUUAGAUGUUAGAGUGAGCGUAAAUUCGCUAAGGAUGCUGACGUAAUGGCUUCAAACGA